GACAUCAUGCAUGAUGCCAUAAAUAUUAUAAUUAAAAAUUUAUUUAAUUUGAUUUAUGGUCUUCCAUAAGAUUAAAAGACAAAAAUAAAAAGAAAAAAAAAUCCAGAUCGAUCACAGAGAGAUUGAAGUUAGCUCAUAUCUUGCAUCUAAUCUGAAAGAGAAAGAAACUGAUCGAAAGGCUGAAAUUUACCAGCGAUUGAAGACGUGAAAGAUGGAAAGAAGCACUAAGCUAUCUCUGUGUGUGUGUUUGUGUGUCUUCUCUUUGAAUCUAUGGAUAUGGAGAGAGUCUCCGUGUCACUGAAACUUAAACCAAAAAGAGAAAGGGGGAAAAUGACGUGGAGAAAGAAAAAUGAAUAAAGUAAUGCGAUAGAGCGCGUGAAGAACUUCCUUU
rnacentral:misc_RNA from 1 species